AGGAAGAAGAGUCAGAGAGGAAAAAUGUUGUUUUCAAUAGUUUGCAGUCAGAAGGAGAUGGUGAAAACGAGGCUGUGCAAGAAAAAAGGUGUAGAAGCCAAUUCAAUUCCCUGCAGAGUGCCAGAUAUGCGGCUUUUUUGGAGGAAUCUGUGUUGGAUUAUGGCUACAUGGAAAGAUUUUUAGAAUCAACAUUGAUAUUAAUACAUUUCUAUUUUGCUUUUUCGGCAGAAUAGGAGAAGAGGAUUUUUAACACGUAUUUUCAGCCUCAAACAGAAGAGGGGUGGGGGUGGGGGAUAAGGCCAGAAUUUUGGGCUCUCCUCCUCUCCCCUUUCAUUUUGUAUGCUUGAAAUUAUGUUUUUUUUUUAAUGUUAAGGUGCACUAUUUUGGUUUUUAUUUAAAAUAUAUACAAAAAAAAAAUUCCUUGUAUCAAAAAAUUAGUGGUUUUUUCACCAGAUUUUGGUGAUUCAUGUUUUCAAGUUUCAAUAAAGACUUUGUGGCC